UACAGAGGGGGCAAGCGUUGUUCGGAAUCACUGGGUGUAAAGGGUGCGUAGGCGAUCAGUUAAGUCUGAUGUGAAAUCCCUGGGCUCAACUCAGGAACUGCAUUGGAAACUAGCUGGCUAGAGUAUCGGAGAGGGAAGCGGAAUUCCUGGUGUAGCGGUGAAAUGCGUAGAUACCAGGAGGAACACCGUGGCGAAGGCGCUCCUGGCCGAAUACUGACGCUGAGGCACGAAAGCGUGGGGGAGCGAACAGGG
rnacentral:rRNA from 1 species